GUAUUUUGCUCUUUAUAAGCACACAGGUGGACAGAGGAUUUAUAUCUGUGGGACAACUCAGAAGCAAAUUAAAGAAGUUCGGGGUUUAAGCUCAGCAGAUUUCAAAACACAUUUUUUAUACCUUCUGCAAUACAGUAAAGCUUAUCAAGAACUUUCCCAUUGGGCACCAGAGUCAAAAGAAGUAAGAGGAAUGUGAACAGCGUGCUUCCUCAGGGUCAUUCCUAUCACUGUAAUUCUUUCAGCAUGACUUCCCAUAUUAGCUUGAGCUCCAUUGCAUAAAGAUCAUUUUUAGGAGAUCAUUGUGAAUACAGUGCUGAGCUGAUCAAAUCGAUCAGACGUUUGUCAUUGCUUCACCAUCCACAAGCUCAAAGCACGUGGAAAGUUUAAGGGCUCUUAACUGAAAAUACGAUGUUUUCACUCUAUAACCUCUUGCUUUCGUCUCUGUAGUACUCUAGGAUACAUCAGCUGCUGACAUAAAUUCAUUCAUUUUGGUGUAAUUUCGUUUAGAAGACACAAGAGCAGUCACACAGAAUCAGUGAUGCCGAUGUUUCCCUAUAACAAUCCCGAUGCGCUUUAUGUGAGAGGGGAAGCAUCAACUCCCUGCUGAAGGGAAAUGCUGAGCCUCGGGAGUGAAAGAUGGUGAUUUGCCAACGCUGGGACAGCACGCGAGUCUCCUGGUGCUAUCCCACAUUUGUGUUUUUGACAUGGAACAGAAUAUGAAAACAAUGCAUAAAGAUAAAUGCAUUUCAGAGUGUGAGAUCAGCUUUAAAUCACCAGAUUUCAAGCUGCGGUGUUUCCUACACAAAGCCCACCUCUGCCCCUUUGAUAAACCCAGUGGGCAACACUGUUCUUUUUGCUCUCGCAAAGGGACACUGUAUGGCAUGUUUGUUAGGACUAUAGUGCUGCAUUUGCUAAUGAAAUUAAGUGUUUUGGAGAAGUUCUUUUAAGCAAAAACAUGUGUUCCAGGGAGGAAACAUUCUUCUGGUAAACAGCUGAGCCCUUAACAUUUAGCAACAUAACUCUGUGUUUGCAGCUAUUGAAAGUUGUGCGACUAAGGAAGCCUGCAUUUCUGAGGCCGAGGACUGCAAGCAUUUUGCUUGUUGUCAGCCAGCCAGACGUUUCUUUUAUAUAUAUGCUAGCUGCAAGAACCAGCUAUUGACUGGUUGCUUCUUAUGGUUUUAAUAAAAUUUGUCUCGUAUCAAAAUGCCGCUGGGUUUCAGCAUUGACACCACACUGAGCAAUGCUCUCUGCUCAGGCACAGCUGGCUCUUGCUUUCCAGAAAUAUCGCUGUGCCCUGGCAUUGCUUGCAAAAAUUGCAGCCUUAAAUCAUUUUGUCACCCCUUUGACCCACUUCGAGAGGGACCCUCUGCAUACAGAUCCCCCUCUUUCAUUGGAAGCAAGGGUCAUUCCUCCUUCUCCCAGCAAGGAGAAGAUGCAGCAGGAGGAGGCAGUUGAGGCACAGAGGAGAAAUUACCUGAUAGCCACAGGCAUCGGCCAUGGGAAGCUCACAAGAAAGUGAAAACAGCUGGAAACUACAGCAAGGGACAGGGACGAGAAGAUAGGAGCAUCCCACGCGCCAACGGGAGGGAGAGAUGCUUGGGCUGUUGAUGCUGGGACACCACGUUCUGGGCAAUUCAUUGGCACCCGCAGCAUGACAGGAUGUUAUCUCAUUUCCUGUAGCCCUCAGAGCAGCUGGGCAUGCUUACAGUUUUCAGCAACUACCAGCUGAGGCCAAACAAGAUCCCACGAUAAAAGUUCAAGGCCUCACGUUCCUCUUCUUACUGCUUUCCUGAGCAGGUUCUCAUUUUAAUCAGACUUAUGGUACUUUCAUCCAGCUAUCUCAAAGCACAUAACAACCACUGUAAUUACUGGCAAUAAUGAGCUAAUUAAUUCUUCUGGGUAUUAUUUCUCAACGAAUAAGUACUACUAUCCUCAGCAUGGGGAUGUGGAAACUGAGCUUAUAUUUAUUUCCCUAAUGUGGAAAGCUAACAUGUAAAGAACUAACACAUCCUUCUGGCUGUGAAACUUCCAUCACAAGAGAUGUCUUCAGCUAUGUCUUUAAAUGUAUGGAUUCUGCCGCUGUGGCUCCAGAACUCUUCAGGACAGAUAAGACACAUCGAAUCUUUAAUCGCUUCUGGAACCGUUUGAGCAGAGCCCUGCUCCCGUUUUCCCUUUGGUCCGGAGGAAAACGACGACAGCUCUCCUUGAAAUUAAGGUCAAGUACGGGAAGCUCA